GGAGAAUGUAACAAAGGUUGGCAUGAAAGAGGGGGAAAUGAGAGAUGUCAUAAGGGUUGUGUACCAUAUCUGAGCUGGUGAGUCCAGUCAGUCUACGUCAGAUGGUCGUCACAAAUUUGAGGAACCAGCCUUUAAGCAGCAGCCAUUUGGACUCUAUAAACAAUCAAAUCCUCUCCCUUUACCAUGACCUGGUUACGGGGUCCAAGGAGUUUCCUCAUAUUGCAGUCAGGGGAUUGUUUCACUCAGAGCAGAUGACGACAACUUUUACCGCUGUGCUGAAAAGUCAGAGGGAGAACACCACUCCAUCUCCUUCUGCAAGCUCACCAGCUGGUAUGAUAGUGCUGCCUGCAGGGUGCCACUUACAUUCUCAGAUCCUGACUCCUGUACUUCCAGACAAGGUGGAUAUUUAUGCACUGAAUACAGACCAGAGGAACUGUGUCCACACCCUGGUGACGGCCUCAUCGUCACCAGAGUCAUCUCUGCUGUUGAUCGCACAGAAGACAGUGAGAUGACAAACCACUGGAGAGUCACGGACUACAGCUCAGAGGGCAGAGUUAUCAUGUCGGAGUUCUGCCAGUUUCUAAAGACGUUUGGACAGGGUGCGAAGAGAGAGGCUACAGAGGAAGAGAGCAGGAGCCCCACUCCACCAAGGAAACUGAAGCCUUUCCUGGAGAACUUAUUUUCUCAAGACUCAUUAAGUUUUAAUACUUUGGCAUUGAUUCCGUCAACUGCGUUGGACAUAUGGCAGGGCUGUGACUGGAUGUUGAACCAGGGACAUCUAUUGUAGAGCCAACUGUAAAUCGGUGCAAAAUGAAGUAAGGAUCCAUAAAGACAGUGCCAAGUGUACAUUAUCCUCUGCUGCAUCUUAGACAUGAGCAAGAAUCAAGAAAGUGUUCUGGUCUCUUCACUGUGCUGUGCUCCACCACUCCUGCAACCUAGAACUGAUCUAGUAACUUAUGUGUGUCUUACAGUGACGUAAGUGCUACAUAAGGGCUUUAGCUGUCUAGCUCAAAUUUCUCUCUACGAUGUAGGGUUUGGAUUUUCUCUCCUAAACUGUGAUCGUCUGGCAGUCUCCGCCGGUCGAUCUGCCUGUGUGUAUGUUUUUCUGUUUUGUUUUGGCUCCCCUGCCUUCUCCUGUAUGUGUGUAUUCCAGCGUGCCAGUUUAUGGAUGUCAUCAGGCCAGAAGGUCUUUCCCACGCUGAAGCCAGCCACACAUGUCUUCCAUCUAGAUUCCAGGUGCUGCUGAUCACUUUCGCAAAGUGGCUACUACUUAACUGUUUGACUGAGCUUGAGUCAACGCUGGAUCGUUGAGUUACCGAGUUAGUUAUUUGGGUCCCGUUCUCGCCAUGCACCU